rnacentral:rRNA from 1 species
CGUGGAGACAGGUGGUGCAUGGCUGUCGUCAGCUCGUGUCGUGAGAUGUUGGGUUAAGUCCCGCAACGAGCGCAACCCUCACCCCUAGUUGCCACCGGGUUAAGCCGAGCACUCAAGGGGAGCUGCCAGCGUCAAGCUGGAGGAAGGCGGGGAUGACGUCAAGUCAUCAUGCCCCUUACGCCCUGGGCUACACACGUGCUACAAUGGCCAGUACAAAGGGACGCGAGACUGCGAAGUGGAGCUAAUCCCAAAAAGCUGGUCUAAGUUCAGAUUGCAGUCUGCAACUCGACUGCAUGAAGGAGGAAUCGCUAGUAAUCGCGUAUCAGCCCGGCGCGGUGAAUACGUUCCCGGGCCUUGUACACACCGCCCGUCACACCUCGAAAGCUGUCUGUACUCGAAGUCGCUGAG